rnacentral:rRNA from 1 species
GUGCCAGCAGCCGCGGUAAUACCGGCAGCUCAAGUGAUGGCCACUCUUAUUGGGCCCAAAGCGUCCGCAGCUGGCUGCGCAAGUCCGUCGGGAAAUCCACUCGCCCAACGAGUGGGCGUCCGACGGAAACUGCACAGCUUGGGACCGGAAGGCUCGAAGGGUACGUUCGGGGUAGGAGUGAAAUCCUAUAAUCCCGCACGGACCACCGAUGGCGAAGGCACUUCGAGAAAACGGAUCCGACAGUGAGGGACGAAAGCCAGGGUCUCCAACCGGAUUAGAAACCCCUGUAGUCC